rnacentral:rRNA from 1 species
UACAGAGGGUGCGAGCGUUGUUCGGAAUUAUUGGGCGUAAAGGGCGCGUAGGCGGUGCGGUAAGUCACCUGUGAAAUCUCCUGGCUCAACUGGGAGCUUGCAGGCGAAACUGCCGUGCUGGAGUGUGGGAGAGGUGAGUGGAAUUCCCGGUGUAGCGGUGGAAUGCGCAGAUAUCAGGAGGAACACCGGUGGCGAAGGCGGGUCUCUGGGCCGAUACUGACGCUGAGGAGCGAAAGCGUGGGGAGCGAACAGG